AAAGAAUCGUUCAAAGGACAGGACUGCGAGGGACCACAUGGCCACGAUCCCUGAAGCAAACAGCAGGAGCCAGGUACUCCUAGAGUCUGCCUACUAAGCCCACUGGAGAGGACAGAAGAGAGCGGUGGAAACCAGGGUGGUCAAUUAUAAAUAAAAUUCAAUUGAAUUUUAACAAGAACCUCUGCAAAGUUCACUAAUAAAAGUAACACCAAUUUUUGUGACUUUUUAAAGUAGACUAAAACUGACCAUAAGUUUUCAUGUAUUAAUCUGUGAAGCACAGGUGCAUGCAGAAAACCUCAAAAUAGACAGAAAUAAAAAAAAACCUGAGCAGAAUAUUAAGCGGAGCAUUCCUCCAGGUUAUGAUUCUUGUGUACUUUAAAUACUGGGGAUUUUGUUGUAACUUUAGCAUUAGUAUAUAAAGUCUAUUCCCCAGGCUUACUGAAUGUAACUAACACUCAGUGUAAUGUAGGUCUGACAAAGUUCCAUAUGGAAUAUUGUAACUCACUGAUACUGUCUCAUUAAAGCACCACAAUAAAGAC